UGUUAAAGAUUUCAUCCAUUUGUACUGUUAAAAACUAACGUGACUGACAAAAUAACAAAUGAGUUACACAUGUCAUGCUACGUGUACCUCAUGCUAACGUGUAUGAACCAAUUUUUUUUUUAACGGUACAAAUAGAUGAAAUUUUUAACA
rfam:Gossypium hirsutum cultivar TM-1 chromosome 14, whole genome shotgun sequence